GAUGCCAAAUUAGUUGCUGACUGGAGAACAGAGCAGGAAAUUCUGUGGAAAUACAAGGGCUUAUGUGCCACUCCAAUCAACUGGAGAUUGAAAUGGAGGAUAUGCAUAGAGAGCUAUAAUUUGGAUACAAUCUCUGAAAAGUCUCUUGCUCUGAUAGGCCCAGUGUCAGAUGAUAUGGGCAUCUGAAGGCAUUACAAGAGAAUAUUUAUCAAUUAUCAGAGCAAAUCAUCCAAUUUGCUGAGCAGAGAAGGAAAGCUAAAGCAAUGGGUAACAGAGAUGAAGCAAGGAAGCUAAAUGUGGAAUUUGAACACAAAGCUAAAAAAAACAAAGAAAAAUACUGGAAUGAGCAUUGCAAAGAAGUGGAGGAAAGAAACUGAAAAGUACACACUAAAGAUAUUUUUGCCCAAAAAAGUAAACUUGCGCACUAUUCACU